rnacentral:tRNA from 1 species
GGAUGGGUGACAGAGCGGUCUAUUGUGCACGCCUGGAAAGCGUGUGUACCCUUACCGGUACCGGGGGUUCGAAUCCCCCCCCAUCCGCCA